rnacentral:rRNA from 1 species
CUAGGAAUCUGCCUGGUAGUGGGGGAUAACGUUCGGAAACGGACGCUAAUACCGCAUACGUCCUACGGGAGAAAGCAGGGGACCUUCGGGCCUUGCGCUAUCAGAUGAGCCUAGGUCGGAUUAGCUAGUUGGUGAGGUAAUGGCUCACCAAGGCGACGAUCCGUAACUGGUCUGAGAGGAUGAUCAGUCACACUGGAACUGAGACACGGUCCAGACUCCUACGGGAGGCAGCAGUGGGGAAUAUUGGACAAUGGGCGAAAGCCUGAUCCAGCCAUGCCGCGUGUGUGAAGAAGGUCUUCGGAUUGUAAAGCACUUUAAGUUGGGAGGAAGGGCAUUAACCUAAUACGUUAGUGUUUUGACGUUACCGACAGAAUAAGCACCGGCUAACUCUGUGCCAGCAGCCGCGGUAAUACAGAGGGUGCAAGCGUUAAUCGGAAUUACUGGGCGUAAAGCGCGCGUAGGUGGUUUGUUAAGUUGGAUGUGA